UACGUAGGGUGCAAGCGUUGUCCGGAAUUAUUGGGCGUAAAGGGCUCGUAGGCGGUCCGUCACGUCGGGAGUGAAAACUUGGGGCUUAACCCCAAGCCUGCUUCCGAUACGGGCGGACUAGAGGUAGGCAGGGGAGAACGGAAUUCCUGGUGUAGCGGUGAAAUGCGCAGAUAUCAGGAAGAACACCCGUGGCUAAGGCGGCUCUCUAGUACGGUACUGACGCUGAGACGCGAAAGCGUGGGGAGCGAACAGG
rnacentral:rRNA from 1 species